UACGUGGGGAGCAAGCGUUGUUCGGAUUUACUGGGCGUAAAGGGCGCGUAGGCGGUAGCACAAGUCAGUUGUGAAAUCUCCGGGCUUAACUCGGAAAGGUCAACUGAUACUGUGCGACUAGAGUGCAGAAGGGGCAACUGGAAUUCUCGGUGUAGCGGUGAAAUGCGUAGAUAUCGAGAGGAACACCUGCGGCGAAGGCGGGUUGCUGGGCUGACACUGACGCUGAGGCGCGAAAGCCAGGGGAGCGAACGGG
rnacentral:rRNA from 1 species